CCUACGGGAGGCAGCAGUUGGGAAUCUUGCGCAAUGGGGGAAACCCUGACGCAGCGACGUCGCGUGGAGGACGAAGGAUUUAGGUCUGUAAACUCCUUUUUCAGGGAAAGACUUAGGACGGUACCCUGAGAAUAAGCACCGGCUAACUACGUGCCAGCAGCCGCGGUAAGACGUAGGGUGCAAGCGUUGUCCGGAUUUACUGGGCGUAAAGGGCGCGUAGGCGGUCUGUUAAGUGUAGAGUGAAAUCUCCAGGGCUCAACCCGGAAACUGCUCUGCAUACUGGCAGACUUGAGGGACGAAGAGGUAUGUGGAAUUCCUGGUGUAGCGGUGAAAUGCGUUGAUAUCAGGAGGAACACCCAUGGCGAAGGCAGCAUACUGGUCGUUUCCUGACGCCGAGGCGCGAAAGCGUGGGUAGCAAACAGGAUUAGAUACCCUGGUAGUCCACGCCCUAAACGAUGGAUACUAGGCGUCGGAGGUAUCGACCCCUCCGGUGCCGCAGCUAACGCAUUAAGUAUCCCGCCUGGGGACUACGGCCGCAAGGUUGAAACUCAAAGGAAUUGACGG
rnacentral:rRNA from 1 species